AGGGAUGUAGCCAAGCGGUAAGGCACAGGACUUUGACUCCUGCAUCUCGAUGGUUCAAAUCCAUCCAUCCCUGCCA
rnacentral:tRNA from 2 species